ensembl:snRNA U2 U2 spliceosomal RNA
AUCACUUCUUGGCCUUCUGGCUAUGAUCAAGUGUAGUAUCUGUUCUUAUUAGUUUAACAUCUGCUGCACUCUCUAGCUGAGGACUAUAUAUUAGACAGAUUUUUGGAGCUGGGAGAUGGGAUAGGAGCUUGCUCUGUGCAAUCCAGGCAUCGACCUGGUGUUGCAGUAACCCCAGGAAAGGUACAGCCUCU